AGCACAUUUCCACUCGGCACCUACACUCACGCAUUGUCUUAGUGCGACUGUGCUUCCUGAAUGUGGUCGUGAAGAGUCCAGCCAUUGUCACGUUGAAUGAUAUCUGUACGUUGAAUGAUAUACCGUUUACUGAGAAAUCCAAAUACGAUCGAAUAUAAAUUGCUCGCCCUUCGGCUCAACUUCAAGAAGAUUGCGGAGGAUACUCACUAUGGCGUCCCUUUGGCCUGCGACACUCCUCUUCGCCGUAUGUCUGGCGUCAGCUGCAGAUGUCACGUUAGAAGAAGACUUCAGAAAUAGGUCUUCCCCGGCCGUGCCUAUCCUCAAGAGGCUCAAGAGAUCGAUCUGCAGGGCGACAGAGGGGAAUUGGCACGUGGAAGGGAUUCGUGAAAUGAUAAGUGAGGCAUACAGCUCUGGAAGAUCCAAGAAGUUCAGCGAUAACUUUGUACUGAACGGAUACAACGCACGCCUAAAUUUUGAAGUGACUCGCUCUGACGGAGAACUAUGGCUGGGACUGUAUCUUGGCUUCUGCAAGGGUCACACUGACCAGCUUCUCGCAUGGCCUUUCCGGGCGCCCUACGCUCUAAUUAUCUUCCAUCCAACGAACAAGACGUUGGACAUCUCGAAAACCAUCUCGUCAUUCUCAACUGCAAAGUUCAGUUCCUUCAAGAGACCAACAACCGGUUGCAACACGCCAUGGGGAUUCACGGAGCUGCUACGAGCAUCAGAAGCUGAAAAACAAGGAUACGUAGUGGACAAUGCUAUCUCUGUUGGUGUUAAGCUCAAUCCGUAAAUUAGGAUUAAGAUGAUGAUUCCCCAUUUGUUUGCUCACUAUGUGCUUGAACAAUGCGCUGGUCGUUCUCUGUACGCGUACAUACAUGCAAUUGGGUCCAGGAAGCAAGUGAUGACUGCGCAUGUGGUAAUCAAAUAGUUGGGAAGUAAAAAUCGUGACAUUUGCUUUCAUGUUGCACCUGGGAUUUCGAUGUGCUGUCUAAAGCUAUACACGCACUUUCUAUGCUCGAUUUGCCAACGUCUCCCUUAGAGUCGUUGAACGGUUUGCUUUUGGGACCUCCUCCUGGACAAUAUUAUAUCCAAUGUAUGUCUGUAAAUGGUUAAUAAAGGUGAAAUUUUAAAGAGUG